rnacentral:rRNA from 1 species
UACGAAGGGUGCAAGCGUUAAUCGGAAUUACUGGGCGUAAAGCGUGCGUAGGCGGUUUGUUAAGUCUGUUGUGAAAUCCCCGGGCUCAACCUGGGAAUGGCAAUGGAUACUGGCAGGCUAGAGUGUGUCAGAGGAUGGUGGAAUUCCCGGUGUAGCGGUGAAAUGCGUAGAGAUCGGGAGGAACAUCAGUGGCGAAGGCGGCCAUCUGGGACAACACUGACGCUGAGGCACGAAAGCGUGGGAAGCAAACAGG